rnacentral:rRNA from 1 species
GAUGAACGCUAGCGGCAGGCCUAAUACAUGCAAGUCGGACGGGAUUCAGGAGCUUGCUUCUGAUGAGAGUGGCGCACGGGUGCGUAACACGUAUGUAACCUACCUUUAUCAGGGGGAUAGCCUCUCGAAAGAGAGAUUAAGCCCGCAUAAAAUCGCAGCACAGCAUUGUGUAAUGAUCAAAUAUUUAUAGGAUAAAGAUGGGCAUGCGGAACAUUAGCUAGAUGGCGGGGUAACGGCCCACCAUGGCGACGAUGUUUAGGGGAUCUGAGAGGAUGGCCCCCCACACUGGUACUGAGACACGGACCAGACUCCUACGGGAGGCAGCAGUAAGGAAUAUUGAUCAAUGGGCGGAAGCCUGAACCAGCCAUGCCGCGUGCAGGAAGACGGCCCUACGGGUUGUAAACUGCUUUUAUACGGGAAUAAACCCAGAUACGUGUAUCUGGCUGAAUGUACUGUAAGAAUAAGGAUCGGCUAACUCCGUG